UCCUAAACCCGAUUGCAAUGGAAAGCCCGCAGUGCAACGAGGACUUGUAAUGGAAAGCGGGACCAACG
rnacentral:sRNA from 2 species